rnacentral:rRNA from 1 species
UGCGGCGGAUGGGUGAGUAACACGUGGGGAACCUGCCCCUAAGUCUGGGAUACCAUUUGGAAACAGGUGCUAAUACCGGAUAAUAAGGCAGAUCGCAUGAUCAGCUUUUGAAAGGCGGCGUAAGCUGUCGCUAAGGGAUGGCCCCGCGGUGCAUUAGCUAGUUGGUAAGGUAACGGCUUACCAAGGCGACGAUGCAUAGCCGAGUUGAGAGACUGAUCGGCCACAUUGGGACUGAGACACGGCCCAAACUCCUACGGGAGGCAGCAGUAGGGAAUCUUCCACAAUGGACGCAAGUCUGAUGGAGCAACGCCGCGUGAGUGAAGAAGGUUUUCGGAUCGUAAAGCUCUGUUGUUGGUGAAGAAGGAUAGAGGUAGUAACUGGCCUUUAUUUGACGGUAAUCAACCAGAAAGUCACGGCUAACUACGUGCCAGCAGCCGCGGUAAUACGUAGGUGGCAAGCGUUGUCCGGAUUUAUUGGGCGUAAAGCGAGCGCAGGCGGAAAAAUAAGUCUAAUGUGAAAGCCCUCGGCUUAACCGAGGAACUGCAUCGGAAACUGUUUUUCUUGAGUGCAGAAGAGGAGAGUGGAACUCCAUGUGUAGCGGUGGAAUGCGUAGAUAUAUGGAAGAACACCAGUGGCGAAGGCGGCUCUCUGGUCUGCAACUGACGCUGAGGCUCGAAAGCAUGGGUAGCGAACAGGAUUAGAUACCCUGGUAGUCCAUGCCGUAAACGAUGAGUGCUAAGUGU